GACGAACGCUGGCGGCGUGCCUAAUACAUGCAAGUUGAGCGCUGAAGGUUGGUACUUGUACCAACUGGAUGAGCAGCGAACGGGUGAGUAACGCGUGGGGAAUCUGCCUUUGAGCGGGGGACAACAUUUGGAAACGAAUGCUAAUACCGCAUAAAAACUUUAAACACAAGUUUUAAGUUUGAAAGAUGCAAUUGCAUCACUCAAAGAUGAUCCCGCGUUGUAUUAGCUAGUUGGUGAGGUAAAGGCUCACCAAGGCGAUGAUACAUAGCCGACCUGAGAGGGUGAUCGGCCACAUUGGGACUGAGACACGGCCCAAACUCCUACGGGAGGCAGCAGUAGGGAAUCUUCGGCAAUGGACGAAAGUCUGACUGAGCAACGCCGCGUGAGUGAAGAAGGUUUUCGGAUCGUAAAACUCUGUUGGUAGAGAAGAACGUUGGUGAGAGUGGAAAGCUCAUCAAGUGACGGUAACUACCCAGAAAGGGACGGCUAACUACGUG
rnacentral:rRNA from 1 species